GAUGAACGCUGGCGGCGUGCCUAAUACAUGCAAGUCGAGCGAACGGACGAGAAGCUUGCUUCUCUGAUGUUAGCGGCGGACGGGUGAGUAACACGUGGAUAACCUACCUAUAAGACUGGGAUAACUUCGGGAAACCGGAGCUAAUACCGGAUAAUAUUUUGAACCGCAUGGUUCAAAAGUAAAAGACGGUCUUGCUGUCACUUAUAGAUGGAUCCGCGCUGCAUUAGCUAGUUGGUAAGGUAACGGCUUACCAAGGCAACGAUGCAUAGCCGACCUGAGAGGGUGAUCGGCCACACUGGAACUAAGACACGGUCCAGACUCCUACGGGAGGCAGCAGUAGGGAAUCUUCCGCAAUGGGCGAAAGCCUGACGGAGCAACGCCGCGUGAGUGAUGAAGGUCUUCGGAUCGUAAAACUCUGUUAUUAGGGAAGAACAUAUGUGUAAGUAACUGUGCACAUCUUGACGGUACCUAAUCAGAAAGCCACGGCUAACUACGUG
rnacentral:rRNA from 1 species